rnacentral:tRNA from 1 species
ACUUAAAUAGCUUAUUUUUAAGAGCAUAAUAUUGAAGAUAUUAAGGAAAUUGUUAUAAUUUUUAAGUA